rnacentral:tRNA from 1 species
AUUGUAAAAGCAAAAUAUUGCAUAAAAUUUAGAAUUUUAAGGAAAUAUUACAAUA